UGCGAGGGAGAGCAGCUCGGACACGUAUUCGUAUUUGCAGGCAGGGUGCGCACGGGACGCGAGUCGGGCCGCGACUCUCAAGCAGCAGGUCAGAUCUUCUCAUCAACCCCUGAAAUCGACGUUCAAAUGAAGAUGCGAAGAUUGUUAUUGUUGGAUGGAGAAGAGAUGCCGGUCUGAAACUAAGUUGUUAACGACUUUCCUUGUUCCAAUAUUUUGCCAGGACCAAAAUUUACAAUUCUGACCCAACAACAACAUAAGCCGACAACCAAAAUUGAAAUUCAAUCAGUUCGCGGACGGAUUAAGUAAUCAAGCUCGAUUUUUGCGGUGGAAGAAGGCCGUGGUUUGCACAUCAAAGCUACUUCCUUGAAGAUGGAAAUCUGCAGAGGGCGAAUUCCUCGCUCCGCACGUCUCUUCGAAUGAAUGAGCUCUCUCGGCUCUAAUGGAUACGAGACGUGCUCUCUCUUGCUGUGCCCACUUUUUUCACCACAAAGUUGGACAAAGCGAGAGCGAGCGAGCGAACUUGGCGCGCGCGAAAUAAUGCUCAACUCUGGCGAAUCAUCACAUUAUUCUCGCCGCUCUGCUCUCGGUCCAACUUUGCCCUCCGGAAUUUGAUUCGACUGACUUUUUUACCAGCUUUGUGCCACCACCAGCUUGACGAGGGAAGAGACGUUUUUUAUCAGAUACAAUUCAAAAGUACUUCAAGUUUUUCAAUAUGUGACCAAAUAAUUUUAAAAUCCUAUAAAUUCCACGAACUUCAGCA